UACGAAGGGUGCUAGCGUUGUUCGGAAUCACUGGGCGUAAAGCGCGCGUAGGCGGCCAUUCAAGUCAGGGGUGAAAUCCCACAGCUUAACUGUGGAACUGCCUUUGAAACUGUAUGGCUGGAGUGUCGGAGGGGAUGGCGGAAUUGCUAAUGUAGAGGUGAAAUUCGUAGAUAUUAGCAGGAACACCGGUGGCGAAGGCGGCCAUCUGGACGACAACUGACGCUGAGGCGCGAAAGUGCGGGGAUCAAACAGG
rnacentral:rRNA from 1 species